UGGGGAAUAUUGGACAAUGGGCGCAAGCCUGAUCCAGCCAUGCCGCGUGCAGGAUGACGGUCCUAUGGAUUGUAAACUGCUUUUGCACAGGAAGAAACAACGCUACGUGUAGCGUCUUGACGGUACUGUGAGAAUAAGGAUCGGCUAACUCCGUGCCAGCAGCCGCGGUAAUACGGAGGAUCCAAGCGUUAUCCGGAAUCAUUGGGUUUAAAGGGUCCGUAGGCGGUUUAGUAAGUCAGUGGUGAAAGCCCAUCGCUCAACGGUGGAACGGCCAUUGAUACUGCUAGACUUGAAUUAUUAGGAAGUAACUAGAAUAUGUAGUGUAGCGGUGAAAUGCUUAGAGAUUACAUGGAAUACCAAUUGCGAAGGCAGGUUACUACUAAUUGAUUGACGCUGAUGGACGAAAGCGUGGGUAGCGAACAGGAUUAGAUACCCCUGUAGUCCCUGAGCGGGCUGGCAAGGCG
rnacentral:rRNA from 1 species